AGUUUUGCCUUAAUUUGGCAAAAAAAAAACCCACAAAAACAAUUAGUGGUUUUGCAUUAAUUUACCAUAUAAAUUCAAACAGUCGAUUCGUUCACAAAAGAGUCGAUUCGUUCUCGAGCGACACUUCACCUAAGUGCGCGCGCCUUGGCUACCGGGAGCGCGUAUCCUCCUCCGGCGAGACUGGCGAGAGAAGCGGGCCAUCGCUGCCCCGACCGCGAGCACUGAGGACAUCAUGAGCUCCAGAAAAGUGAUGGCUAUCCAGGCUCGAAAAAGGAGGCCGAAAGGGAAGAAAGACAAGACGACUCACCAUCGAAGGCAAGUAAUGAGGGGCGGCGGUCGGUUCGCGGUGCGACUUGUGUGUGUUUGUGUCCGACAGCGAGUGAUGCAGUCAACAUCACAGGGCUGUUAAUGUGGACAGUGUCGGAUCUCUGGCUGUAUACAGACCUUUAACGGCCAUGUCACACACACACACACACACACACACACACACACACACACACACACACAUACAGGCGAUCGUUCAGCUGUACAGCUCAGUAUUCCAGGCUGCAGUAAUGGCCGGAGCGGAGCGAGUCGGAAGUUGCUCAUGGCAACGGAGGCAGUUUGUGGGUUGACACCCCAUCCAGAGUGUCCACUGCCUUGUGCCCCGUUUUCCCUGGGACAGGUUCCAGGCACCCCCACAACCCUGUGUAGGAUAAGCGGUAGGGAAAAUGGAUGGAUGAAUGGAUGGAUGGAUGGGUGCAUAUACAGUUUUGAUCACAGGUAAAUACAACCUGUGCUCCACAUAAAGUUAGCUCUUAGCAUCUAGAGCAGGGGUGGGCAAUCUUAUUCGGAAAGGGCCAGUGUGGGUGCAGGUUCUCAUUCCAACCAAGCAGGAGCCACACCUGAUUCCACCUAUUUAAUCAGUUGAUCUUGGCUUUCAGUAGAUUCAGGUGUGGCUUCUGCUUGGUUGGAAUGAAAACCUGCACCCACACCGGCCCUUUCUGGAUAAGAUUGCCCACCCCUGAUCUAGAGUAUCUUGCUGGCAUUAAAUUCAUAACCCUGUAUGACUGCAGGAUUCACACUAGCUAAGCAGCAGGCGACUAUUCAUUUCCUGUGUAAUUUUUCAACACAGAGAUCGGGUGUGGGGAACAGCGACAAGUGACGUGACAACAGUACAACAUUUUGUUGCACGAGUCCAGUUUUCUCAAUUUUAUGUGAAUUAGUUAUGAUGCAAUAGGGGAAAAAAUUAAUUAUGGUCUCCAUUAAUUUCUUUGACUAAUUGGAUGUCCAGUGUCCUCCCAGUCAUAUAGUUCUACAAGUGUUUAGUCUCAUUUAAAAGUGUUUGGAGUUUAAAAAAAGAGAAAUAACACCUCACCCACCCCCCCACCCCCGAUUACUAGCAAAAUGACAUACAGUAUCUCGCUAGCUCGUUUAUGUUCCCUUUGAACAUGUUUCCGAAGCCUUCAGACGAUCGGAAAACAAUGUGAAGCCGUUCGGAGAAGUCAGUCUCUCACGUUCGCAGUGAUAGUCCAAUAAGUGUAAAGUGAUGUUACUUAUAAUCCAACCCUAAAAAGACUUGGCGGUUAAGAGCACAGAAUGCUGCUGAUGUAAAUACUGAUCAUUACUUUCAGCAUUCUGAAAGGAGACCUUGGUCUUGUCAGAGAUUGUAAAAGAUCAAGACCAGAUUCAGAAUCCUCAGUUCUACACCAUGUUUAUCAGGUUUGAGUGGUCUCAAGCCUCAAACCAUGAAGUGGGCUCACUUGCAGCUGGGUGUCUUAUACACUAUGUGGCCAAAAGAAUGUUGACACCUGACCAUCACACCUAACCAUCACUCCAAACUGUUGCCACGAAUUGGAAGCACAUAAUUAUAUAGAAUAUCUUUAUAUCCUGUAGCAUUACAGUUUGUCUUCAGUGGACUUAAGAGGCCCGAAUUAUGUUCCAGCAUGACAAUGCCCCUGUGCUCAAAGUGCUCAAAGUGUUCAAAGCUCCAUGAAGACAUGGUUUGCUGAGGUUGGAGUGGAAGAACUCGAGUGUCCUGCACAGAACCCUGACCUCAACCUCACUGAACACCUUUGAGAUGAACUGGAACACCGACUGCACCCAGACCUCCUCACUUGACAUCAGCACCUGAACACUCUAAUGCUCUUGUGGCUGAAUGAGCAGAAAUCCCCACAGCCGCGCUCUCGAAUCCAGUGGAAAGCCUUCUCAGAAGAGUGGAGGUUGUUAUACCAGCAAAGGGGAACAAAAUCUGGAAUGGGAUGUUCAAUAAGCACAUACUGUCGUGCAGAAACUUUUCACCAUAUAGACUGUCUUCACUAAUAAGAAUGUAGAGUAAAGACA
ensembl:lncRNA